rnacentral:rRNA from 1 species
ACGCUGGCGGCAGGCUUAACACAUGCAAGUCGAACGGUAGCAGGAGGAAGCUUGCUUUCUUGCUGACGAGUGGCGGACGGGUGAGUAAUGCUUGGGAAUCUGGCUUAUGGAGGGGGAUAACGACGGGAAACUGUCGCUAAUACCGCGUAUUAUCGGAAGAUGAAAGUGCGGGACUGUAAGGCCGCAUGCCAUAGGAUGAGCCCAAGUGGGAUUAGGUAGUUGGUGGGGUAAAGGCCUACCAAGCCUGCGAUCUCUAGCUGGUCUGAGAGGAUGACCAGCCACACUGGAACUGAGACACGGUCCAGACUCCUACGGGAGGCAGCAGUGGGGAAUAUUGCGCAAUGGGGGCAACCCUGACGCAGCCAUGCCGCGUGAAUGAAGAAGGCCUUCGGGUUGUAAAGUUCUUUCGGUAUUGAGGAAGGUUGAUGUGUUAAUAGUACAUCAAAUUGACGUUAAAUACAGAAGAAGCACCGGCUAACUCCGUGCCAGCAGCCGCGGUAAUACGGAGGGUGCGAGCGUUAAUCGGAAUAACUGGGCGUAAAGGGCACGCAGGCGGUUAUUUAAGUGAGGUGUGAAAGCCCCGGGCUUAACCUGGGAAUUGCAUUUCAGACUGGGUAACUAGAGUACUUUAGGGAGGGGUAGAAUUCCACGUGUAGCGGUGAAAUGCGUAGAGAUGUGGAGGAAUACCGAAGGCGAAGGCAGCCCCUUGGGAAUGUACUGACGCUCAUGUGCGAAAGCGUGGGGAGCAAACAGGAUUAGAUACCCUGGUAGUCCACGCUGUAAACGCUGUCGAUUUGGGGGUUGGGGUUUAACUCUGGCGCCCGUAGCUAACGUGAUAAAUCGACCGCCUGGGGAGUACGGCCGCAAGGUUAAAACUCAAAUGAAUUGACGGGGGCCCGCACAAGCGGUGGAGCAUGUGGUUUAAU